CCUACGGGAGGCUGCAGUGGGGAAUAUUGGACAAUGGGGGGAACCCUGAUCCAGCCAUGCCGCGUGUGUGAAGAAGGCCCUCGGGUUGUAAAGCACUUUCAGUGAGGAAGAACGCCUGGUGGUUAAUACCCAUCAGGAAAGACAUCACUCACAGAAGAAGCACCGGCUAACUCCGUGCCAGCAGCCGCGGUAAUACGGAGGGUGCGAGCGUUAAUCGGAAUUACUGGGCGUAAAGCGCGCGUAGGUGGCUUGAUAAGCCGGUUGUGAAAGCCCCGGGCUCAACCUGGGAACGGCAUCCGGAACUGUCAAGCUAGAGUGCAGGAGAGGAAGGUAGAAUUCCCGGUGUAGCGGUGAAAUGCGUAGAGAUCGGGAGGAAUACCAGUGGCGAAGGCGGCCUUCUGGACUGACACUGCCACUGAGGUGCGAAAGCGUGGGUAGCAAACAGGAUUAGAUACCCGUGUAGUC
rnacentral:rRNA from 1 species